rnacentral:rRNA from 2 species
ACUGAUUGAUGGUGCUUGCACCUGAUUGACGAUGGAUCACCAGUGAGUGGCGGACGGGUGAGUAACACGUAGGUAACCUGCCCCGGAGCGGGGGAUAACAUUUGGAAACAGAUGCUAAUACCGCAUAACAACAAAAGCCACAUGGCUUUUGUUUGAAAGAUGGCUUUGGCUAUCACUCUGGGAUGGACCUGCGGUGCAUUAGCUAGUUGGUAAGGUAACGGCUUACCAAGGCGAUGAUGCAUAGCCGAGUUGAGAGACUGAUCGGCCACAAUGGAACUGAGACACGGUCCAUACUCCUACGGGAGGCAGCAGUAGGGAAUCUUCCACAAUGGGCGCAAGCCUGAUGGAGCAACACCGCGUGAGUGAAGAAGGGUUUCGGCUCGUAAAGCUC